CCCCCAGAGAUGCCAUUUGUGGGCAGCUCCAGUGCCAGACAGGUAGGACCCAGCCUCUGCUGGGCUCCAUCCGGGAUCUACUCUGGGAGACAAUAGAUGUGAAUGGGACUGAGCUGAACUGCAGCUGGGUGCACCUGGACCUGGGCAGUGAUGUGGCCCAGCCCCUCCUGACUCUGCCUGGCACAGCCUGUGGCCCUGGCCUGGUGUGUAUAGACCAUCGAUGCCAGCGUGUGGAUCUCCUGGGGGCACAGGAAUGUCGAAGCAAAUGCCAUGGACAUGGGGUCUGUGACAGCAACAGGCACUGCUACUGUGAGGAGGGCUGGGCACCCCCUGACUGCACCACUCAGCUCAAAGCAACCAGCUCCCUGACCACAGGGCUGCUCCUCAGCCUCCUGGUGUUAUUGGUCUUGGUGAUGCUUGGUGCCAGCUACUGGUACCGUGCCCGCCUGCACCAGCGACUCUGCCAGCUCAAGGGACCCACCUGCCAGUACAGGGCAGCCCAAUCAGGUCCCCCUGAACGGCCAGGACCUCCGCAGAGGGCCCUGCUGGCGCGAGGCACUAAGGCUAGUGCUCUCAGCUUCCCGGCCCCCCCUUCCAGGCCGCUGCCGCCUGACCCUGUGUCCAAGAGACUCCAGUGGUGCUCUUCAUUAGGUGAUGGGGUGCCCCUCAGCUUUCAGACACUCUGAGCCCCAGAAGCAGCAAAGGUCUCAGGGGCCAGCCAAGCCCCCACCCCCAAGGAAGCCACUGCCUGCCGACCCCCAGGGCCGGUGCCCAUCGGGUGACCUGCCCGGCCCAGGAGCUGGAAUCCCACCCCUAGUGGUACCCUCCAGACCAGCGCCACCGCCUCCGACAGUGUCCUCGCUCUACCUCUGACAUCUCUGGACGUUCCGCUGCCUCCAAGCCGGACUUAGGGCUUCAAGAGGCGGGCGUGCCCUCUGGAGUUCCCUACCAUGACUGAAGGCGCCAGAGACUGUAUGCGGUGUCUUAAGGCUCCGGGCACCGCCACGCGCUGUCAAGCAGCACUCUGCGGACCUGCCGGCGUAGUUGCAGCCGGGGCUUGGGGAGGGGCUGGGGGUUGGACAGGGUUGAGGAAGGUCCGCACAGCCUGUCUCUGCUCAGCU
rnacentral:sRNA from 1 species